UAAUAAAUCAGUAUAUUCAUCUGAAUGGAUUUAUUUAAAUCAGGGAAAAUUUUAAAUAUCGUUUCUAUGAUUUUAUAUUUUCUUACUUUACUACCCCUAUAGUUUAAAAUGUAUUAAUUUAGUAUCUCAUAAUUUUAUUUUUCUCUUUUUAUUAUCCCCUCCACUAAUUUUUUUUCUUUAAAUCAGUGAAUUAAAAGAUACUAAAGUGAAUAUUUGAUAAAUUUAGGUCGGGUAUCUGAAUUUUUUUGUAUAUAAUUUAACGAAAUGUUAACGGAGAAGCUGACGUAAAAAAAAAAAAGAAACCAUAAUGUAUUAAAUUGAUACACUUUAAAUAACAGGGUAGUAAAGUGAAAAAGUACAAAAAUCAUAAUAUAUUAAAUUGAUAUAUUUUAAAUAAUAUGGUACUAAAGUGAAAAAGUGCGAAAUCGAAUGGAUAAUAUUUGAAG
rnacentral:lncRNA from 1 species